rnacentral:rRNA from 1 species
GACGAACGCUGGCGGCGUGCUUAACACAUGCGAGUCGAACGGAAAGGCCCUGCUUUUGUGGGGUACUCGAGUGGCGAACGGGUGAGUAACACGUGAGUAACCUGCCCUUGACUUUGGGAUAACUUCAGGAAACUGGGGCUAAUACCGGAUAGGAGCUCCUGCUGCAUGGUGGGGGUUGGAAAGUUUCGGCGGUUGGGGAUGGACUCGCGGCUUAUCAGCUUGUUGGUGGGGUAGUGGCUUACCAAGGCUUUGACGGGUAGCCGGCCUGAGAGGGUGACCGGCCACAUUGGGACUGAGAUACGGCCCAGACUCCUACGGGAGGCAGCAGUGGGGAAUAUUGCACAAUGGGCGGAAGCCUGAUGCAGCAACGCCGCGUGCGGGAUGACGGCCUUCGGGUUGUAAACCGCUUUCGCCUGUGACGAAGCGUGAGUGACGGUAAUGGGUAAAGAAGCACCGGCUAACUACGUG